CCCCGUACAUGGCAUGGAGCGCCCGAAGCUUUGUGAUACGCUUUCUAAGAGUCGAGUUGUUUGGGAAUGCAGCUCAAAAUGGGUGGUAAAUGCCAUCUAAGGCUAAAUAUUGGGGAGAGACCGAUAGCGAACAAGUACAGUGAUGGAAAGAUGAAAAGAACUUUGAAAAGAGAGUUAAACACGUACGUGAAAUUGCCAAAAGGGAAGGGUAGGAGGUCAGAGAUGCGUCGCAGGAUUCAGCCUUGCUUUUGCUUGGUGUUUUUCCUGCGUUGCAGGCCAACGUCGGUUUUGGGCACUGGAGAAGGGUAGGAGGAACGUGGCACCUCUCGGGGUGUGUUAUAGCCUCCUACUGGAUACAGCGACCGAGACCGAGGAACGCAGCGUACUCGUAAGAGCGGCCUUUUGCACCUUUACGCUUAGGGCGUUGGCAUAAUGGCCCUCUACCACCCGUCUUAACC
rnacentral:rRNA from 1 species